AGGAAUUCUUCAAGGCGUCUAUUGGGGCCUGGGAACUGGUACCGGUGCUAUCGUUGGCGGGUUUAUGGUUCAUCACGUGGGCGGUGAUAUCACAUUCCGUGCAUUCUCAUUGGCUACUGCGGCCGUGUUCUCGCUGUUUGUCCUGGUUCAGCUGGUUUUACGUUAUGCAGGUCGUGAUGCUUUAGAUUACCACAAGAUACCAUGCGAGGCUGAUGAAGGAAACUUGUUAACUGACGAAGGUAGUGAAGAGGAAGGCAGUGAUAGCUAUUACGAUACAGACGAUAGAGAUGAAGACUAAUGUAUAGGUUUAUUUAAAGUGCAUCUAACCUCAAUUCUUCGAACAUCUCAUUCCUAAGAACCUUUGAAAUGAUCUGGUAACUUAUUUUUAUGUUUUCGUUUGCACACUUUGUCUCUGAGUUAUUUCAUGAAAUAAAAAGGGUAAAUGGUGUUUUGCAUAGUUAUGUAAUUCUCCAAAAACUGCAAACAUUUUAAUAAAUUAAACUUGAUACGAUAUCCAAGCUUUUACUUUAAGUUAUUAUGCAAUUGUGACGUAAAUUCCGGGUAUUUGCAUACCAAACAAACUGAAAUAUCUCAAACAAAGGGAGCAAAUGAAUAUCUUCAAAAUAAGUUAUUUUAUUUUUUUAUUUGUGCAUGCCUAGUGAUAUUUUUUGAUUUCCUGCAAUCUGAUUGGCUGCAGCAGCAGGCAGCUUUUUACGAUAUCUUGACCGUGGUGCAAAAGAGUUAUUUUUUCGCGAAAAACCGAGGAGUAAAGACAAUUUUCAAACUCAAAACACUACCCAAAAAGUUUAAAAAUUCACUCUAUCGAAACUAAAGACAGUAAAAUACAGUGAAUUGGCUUCAAUGGACUCAUAGUGCCAAGCCCGAAAUGUACUUUUCUCCGACCAAACUGCGAAAAAAAGAAAUGUAAACAUCGAAAAACACUUGCCAGUGCUACAAGUUUUGAUUCAAAUGUUCCACAUAUAUUCAGCUUUUCUUAAAAAAUAUAUGCUUGCCCGAAGGGGACAAAAUUACGAACAUGUACAUAUCAUUUCCAUUACGCAAAUAUCAUUUCCAUAUGUCCAAAUAUCAGUUUCAAUCCAAAUUCGUCGAAGUUGAGAAAAAA